GUUAUCGUCCUUUUUUCAUACUGUCAUGAACUUGUGAUCUUUCCUAGAAAAUCUCAUGCAAGGUCGUUAUUUUCUCUGAUGCUUUUUUCUGUUAUUGCCCAGCUAGAAGGGGAAGUUUGUUAGGUUAGAUACAUCAUUGUGGUGUGCAUUUUAUUGGUGUCAUCUGCGUCCUCAUUAUGGUCCGAGCCAUUUCUCCGUCUUGUGGUGAUCUUGGGACCAUUCUAACUUAAUGCUGCCUAAGAGCCCCAUAAAAGUGGGCAUAGCAAGAGUUUUGCUGUGUCAAUUACCGGCUUUUUUUUACCAACCUUACACACGGAAAAAUCCCCUACUUCCCUAUGGUGUUUUUUUCUUUCUAUUUAUAUAAGUACAGUGUAGAAGAAGGCAUUAUUUGGUAUGCUUAAGUCUGGUACUUCAGUAUUAAAGGAUUAUUAUAAAUCUCCUAACGAGGUUGGAGAUGUCGAUGUGAAAUUCACUUUACAUUUCCUCUUAGUGAAUUCAAAUAGGACAAGUAGGCAGUAGGAGCAACCAAGUGCAUUAAGUUAGUCGACUUCAAUGUGUAGCAUCAUGGGCCAUUUAAAUAAGAAGAUGGAGAGCUUUUGACACUUACUGUAACUGCAUUGGCUUGACAUCUUGCCUUGAUCCAGGUUAGUGGGAUGCCAGUCAUACAAGUAAGCUUUGUCUCUGAGACAAGUGGAUCAUAGCUUCCCUGAGCUUUUCCUCAUGCUGAUCAUUUAAUUAAUUAUUGCAUUGUACCAUCUGUGGUAUGCAAACUAAAAGCUAAAGCAGUUAUAGGGGAGUCAUUUAUGAUUUAUGUUUGUAUUUUGUAGUUUCAGUGCCUUCCUCAUGGUUCUUCAUACUCAGAUGCUUGGCCUCUUUAGUCCUGGCACCACUUAUUUGUUUUGAAGCACAUUGUGAGCAUGCUUCAGGUUUGUUCCCCGCAGCUGGGCCUUGAUGGUGGUGAUGCUUAUAUAAGAAGGUUGUUGCAGGCCCUAUGCUCGCUUAUUAUGUAUCAUCGCCAGGGAGUCUUUUGAGGUUUCUACUCGGCUAAAUAUACAAAUUGAAGUUGGAUCAUUUAGCUAGCCUCAUCGAUAGUG